GCACCCAUAGCUCAAUGGAUAGAGUUUGUGUUUGCGGAACACAAUAUGCAGGUCCGAUUCCUGCUGGGUGCACCA
rnacentral:tRNA from 1 species